UGGAGUUCUAUGGUCCUUCUGUGCAUGUGUCCUCCCCUUGCCAGCUGAGCAUCUCCUGAGAUCAGGGUGGGCAGAGUAAGUCCUCUGUGCCCAGAAGAACCUAGAGUGGCCUUGGUACCUAAGUUCCAGGCUGUCCCUUCCCGACAGCCAGCGCCACUUGCCUGCUAGGCCUUUCCAGGAAAAGAUCAGCCUUUAGCAUCAGCCCAUAGGAGGAACUGGAAGUACGAAGAGCCCAGAGCCUAGAGCCUGACACUACAAUGAUUCACACCUCUCCAGGCUCCUUCGCCUCCUUAGGAUCGUGGUAAACAGACAAGCCCCAUGGCCACACUCCAGGCAGCAUCGGGGGACAGGGUUUCUCCAAACUGAACAGACCAACGAGCAAGAAAGAUGUCCUACUCUGAAACAGUCAUGCAAAUCAAUAUGGGCUGAAUAUGAAUGCACAUCACGUGAUAAUCACCGUGUUCCUCUCAGACUUGACAAUGAGA